GAUGGCUCACGCCUGUAAUCCCAGCACUUUGGGAGGCCCAGCAUGACAACUGGCAAGAUUCCAAGAGGUGGAAUGAGGGCUCCUUCAGCUUGUGUCCCUGAGAGAGGACAAUGUGGUAAAGCAAUGGAACCUCCAAUGGACAUAUGACAAGGUGCUCAUGUUAAUGGCUCAAACAAAUUAUGGAUUUAUUCUCCCUCAUAAAAGAAGUCUGGAAGUUGUCGGUCAAGGGUUGAUAACAGUGUUGAUGAUUCACUCAGCUAUCAGCCAAGAAGCUUCCUGCCUCUACUGUAAAUGAAGCCUGAAAUAUCCAAGCUACAUUAUCGCUAACUUGCCUAUGGUGGGACAUCUGUGGUUUUCUCCAUCUGGUUUCUAACUCCUACUGAUACAGAACGGCUAAAUUCCACCCUCAAGCCUGGACCCUCAGCCUUAAGUCAAAACAGCUGACCCUGAUACAGAACGGCUGAGCUCCUGUCUAAACUCCACCCUCAAGCCUGGACCCUCAGCCCUAAGUCAAAACAGCUGACCCUCAUACAGAACGGCUGGGCUCCUGGCUAAACUCCACCUCAAGCCUGGACCCUCAGCCUUAAGUCAAAACAGCUGACCCUGAUACAGAACGGCUGGGCUCCUGGCUAAACUCCACCCUCAAGCCUAGACCCUCAGCCUUAAGUCAAAACAGCUGACCCUGAUACAGAACGGCUGGGCUCCUGGCUAAACUCCACCCUCAAGCCUGGACUCUCAGCCUUAAGUCAAAACAGCUGACCCUGUUGCCUUUGUGGCCCACCCCACCUCCUAUCUUGUGCUUGCCUUUUGGCCCACCCAAUCCCCUAGCCUUUGCCCAUAAAAAGACUUCAGCUGGUGGAGCAAAAAGAGGUGGCUGAUGUAAGUGUUUGGGGAUGCAAGCUGCUGAACAUCAGGGUUACAUGCAGCUGAGCAUCCGAGACUAAGGAUAGACUCGGCUAACUUCAGAUGGUGUGGCUUCAGGAAAAGAUCACUUUCUUCCCAUACCAUCCCUUUACCAAUUCCCCAUCCCGCUGAUAGCCACUUUUAUUGCCCAAUAAACUCCUCCACAUA